rnacentral:lncRNA from 1 species
CUCCGACAUCGCGACUUCACUGUCUCUUUUGAAAUCGUCUGAUCGUUUCGCAUGUGUCUCAGUCCCGGUUGUUUCCAUUGAGAUUGUAAAGAGAGAUGGACUCCAGUCCAGCAGCUCUUUGUAUGACUUUUACAUUGGAUAUAUGGAGUCUCCUGAUGUCCCUGCAAGACUGGUCAGAAGGGAUCCAACCAAGAUGAUGGAAAGUCCAGACUGA